GUGCAGCAGGCGCGAAAACUUUACAAUGUGCGAAAGCACGAUAAGGGAACUCUGAGUGCCUCCUAAGGAGGCUGUUCAGGUGUCUAAAAAAGCACCUGAAGGAAGGGCUGGGUAAGACCGGUGCCAGCCGCCGCGGUAACACCGGCAGCCCAAGUGGUAGCCACGUUUAUUGGGUCUAAAAGCGUCCGUAGCCGGCUGGGUAAGUUCCUUGGGAAAAUUUGGCUGCUUAAACAGUCAAGCUUUCAGGGAAUACUGCUCGGCUUGGGACCGGGAGAGGUCAGAGGUACUCCAGGGGUAGGGUGAAAUCCAUUAAUCCUUGGGGGACCACCGGUAGCGAAGGCGUCUGACCAGACCGGGUCCGACGGUGAGGGACGAAGGCUAGGGGCGCGAAACCGGAUUAGAUACCCCGGUAGU
rnacentral:rRNA from 1 species